GGUAGAUAAGGGCCCUGCUCAAACGAGCUUACAGUGUAGAGGAAGUUAUGUAAGCCCUGAAAUUAUGCCGGCACACAAACAGAGUGGGUGGGCAGUGGGUCCCUCUCAUCGGCAGGUCCCUGUACCCAACUACUCAUGUAGCCCUUUCCUGUCAGACCGUGGUCCCCUCCAUGUGUCUCGGUCCCAUACCUGCCCCUCCUUGUG